rfam:Cladophialophora carrionii strain KSF Contig1695, whole genome shotgun sequence.
GGUUGUGUAGUGUAGCGGUUAGCACACGGGAUUCUGAUCCACUGAACCUUCCCGUGACCCCGGUUCGAAUCCGGGCACGACCU